UGGUAAGUAGAAAGGUUGGUAACUCAAUAACAUUCAAGUAUGUAUUUAUAUCUUUAUAUAUUAAAAGUGUCUAUUUAACGGCAUUUUUUGGUUUAACAGAAUAUACCUUAAAAAUAAAAAGAAUAUUCUGUUAAAUUUAACGAUGUUAAUAAGUUUGAUCUACCGUUAAUAAAUAAACCCAAUAAUUAAACCCAAAAAAUUAAAAAAAAUCAUGUUAGCCACAUAUCUCUCUAACAAACCGUAUAUCCCCAAAUAUUGUGAUAAAAAAUCAUGUUUGCACUCUGGUAUAGGUUUUGCACUCCGUAAGUCUUUCUUCUUCUUCGUAGUCUUCUUUUUCAUUCAUUGAUUUUUGUUACAAAUUUCAAAUAUUGACUUGCAGUACGCCUACUUCUCUAUCAAUGGCCAUUCCACCAGAACUCGCUGGUGCCAUACCCUUGAUCGAUAAAUUUCAGGUAGAAGGUUUCCAAAAGGUGACUAGAAGGUUUCCAAAAUCUAUUUCUUUAGCCCUAACCGAUUUACUAAAAUCAUGGGAUCCAGUGAAAAAUAAGAGAAAAUUUGAGUCUUCUUUUCAACUUUCAAUUAUCAAGUUCUCUCAAUCGCUCAUUCCAUCGUCCCAGCGUAUUUUCUUCUUCUUAUUAUUCCGUUUCUCCCCGCAUAAAAAUUCAAUUCAUUCCUUCCCAAUACAAUACACUAAAACUCCCUGCCUGUUCCGAUUCUUUCCGUACUUUCUACCGAUUCUCUCCUUUGAACGACCACGAUGAAGAGGAUGCUGAGAAUUGCAGCUUCGACGAGGCAGUAGAGCUUUUCAACAAAAGAGAAUAUUACAGGUAGAAGUAAAAUGUCAGAGUCAUCGAUUUUGCUAAGCUAUCUAACCAUGUUCUCUGUUCCUUGAGAGAGACACCAUUGGAUGUGAUUGUUGUGACAUCAGAUAAUGCAAUGCAAUACCAAGGAAGGGCUUUUCCAAAUUGUUGACAAAACAGUAUCAGAUAUUUUGGGCAAAUGAUAUGUGCAGUCAAAUGGUACGGGUUUGGCAAUGUUUAUUAUGAGUGUAUUUAUUUACAAAAUUGAGUGUUUUUAAUGGGUUGUUGUUGUACUGGGUUGUUGUUGUACUGUGGUGGUGAUCAAAUCAGUACCACCAUUAUCAUUUGAUGCAAGUCUCUUGCUAUACCAUUAGGUAUGAACUCAUAAGAUCCAUAUUCAGUGUAUUAUUGGGUUCUUAUUGGGUUGUUGUUGUAUAGUGUAUUAUAUACAUGUUUGAAAGAAUUUUGGUAGAGUUUUGAAUAUGCUUAAUGAUAAUGAGGCAUUUGAUUAAGUAUUGUAAUUCAAAUUUUCGUACAUUGGUACUAAAUUUGUUGGAGCUAUAUCUAGAUGAACGACUACACUUCUCUUCAUGUGGAUCACAAAUGGUAAUAAUCUAUAUUUUAGUUAGUGUUUUUGUUUCUGCUCAAUUAAACAACUUCACAAUGUAACCUUGAUGAUUUUUAUUUUUUCAGCGGACAAGUUUCUUAAUUCCUGACAAUAUUAAGGGUUUAUCACCUGGUUCUAUGUUUCUUGCAAUGAGCAAUGGACUCAUGAUUCCCUGUGCGCUUUUAACUUGUAAUUUCAUGUGGUAAUGUAUUUUUUCAAUCUCAUUGUUUCCAUACUAAGUAGUGGAUAUCUCUCCUUCACAUGUAUUUCAUGUGAAUAUCUUAUUCCUAAACUAUCUUCUUUAAAAGGUAGGUUCUGAUGUGUUAUAUAAUUUUGAGCCUUCAAGUAUGUAUAUUUAUGUUGGGUGUAUUCUUUUUUGUCUUGAUUUAUUUUCAUUAAUGAUCACAGUACCCAUAGUAUACUUUAUAAACACAGUACCCAUAGUAUACUUUUUAAAAACAAAUUGCUCAAAUAAUCAUAUUACUUUAUUUACCAAAAUUG